UACGUAGGGGGCAAGCGUUGUCCGGAUUUAUUGGGCGUAAAGAGCGUGUAGGCGGCCAAGCAGGUCCGCUGUGAAAACUCGAGGCUCAACCUCGAGACGUCGGUGGAAACCGUUUGGCUAGAGUCCGGAAGAGGAGAGUGGAAUUCCCGGUGUAGCGGUGAAAUGCGCAGAUAUCGGGAAGAACACCAGUUGCGAAGGCGGCUGGCUGGGUCCACAUUGACGCUGAGGCUCGAAAGCGUGGGGAGCAAACAGG
rnacentral:rRNA from 1 species